UGAACUGUGGAUAUCCUGAUAAUGAAGACUG
rnacentral:piRNA from 1 species